GACGAACGCUGGCGGCGUGCUUAACACAUGCAAGUCGAACGGUGAAGCUCCAGCUUGCUGGAGUGGAUCAGUGGCGAACGGGUGAGUAACACGUGAGCAACCUGCCCCUGACUCUGGAAUAAGCGCUGGAAACGGCGUCUAAUACUGGAUACGAGAAGGGUUCGCAUGGGCACUUUCUGGAAAGUUUUUCGGUUGGGGAUGGGCUCGCGGCCUAUCAGCUUGUUGGUGAGGUAAUGGCUCACCAAGGCGACGACGGGUAGCCGGCCUGAGAGGGCGACCAGCCACACUGGGACUGAGACACGGCCCAGACUCCUACGGGAGGCAGCAGUGGGGAAUAUUGCACAAUGGGCGAAAGCCUGAUGCAGCGACGCCGCGUGAGGGAUGACGGCCUUCGGGUUAUAAACCUCUUUCAGCAGGGAAGAAGCGAAAGUGACGGUACCUGCAGAAGAAGCACCGGCUAACUACGUG
rnacentral:rRNA from 1 species